rnacentral:rRNA from 1 species
GAUGAACGCUGGCGGCGUGCCUAAUACAUGCAAGUCGAGCGAAUGGAUUAAGAGCUUGCUCUUAUGAAGUUAGCGGCGGACGGGUGAGUAACACGUGAGUAACCUGCCCAUAAGACUGGGAUAACUCCGGGAAACCGGGGCUAAUACCGGAUAACAUAUUGAACCGCGUGGUUCGAAAUUGAAAGGCGGCUUCGGCUGUCACUUAUGGAUGGACCCGCGUCGCAUUAGCUAGUUGGUGAGGUAACGGCUCACCAAGGCAACGAUGCGUAGCCGACCUGAGAGGGUGAUCGGCCACACUGGGACUGAGACACGGCCCAGACUCCUACGGGAGGCAGCAGUAGGGAAUCUUCCGCAAUGGACGAAAGUCUGACGGAGCAACGCCGCGUGAGUGAUGAAGGCUUUCGGGUCGUAAAACUCUGUUGUUAGGGAAGAACAAGUGCUAGUUGAAUAAGCUGGCACCUUGACGGUACCUAACCAGAAAGCCACGGCUAACUACGUGCCAGCAGCCGCUGUAA